rnacentral:rRNA from 1 species
GUAGGGAAUAUUGGACAAUGGGGGCAACCCUGAUCCAGCAAUGCCGCGUGAGUGAUGAAGGCCUUAGGGUUGUAAAGCUCUUUUACCCGGGAUGAUAAUGACAGUACCGGGAGAAUAAGCUCCGGCUAACUCCGUGCCAGCAGCCGCGGUAAUACGGAGGGAGCUAGCGUUGUUCGGAAUUACUGGGCGUAAAGCGCGCGUAGGCGGCUGUUUAAGUCAGAGGUGAAAGCCUGGAGCUCAACUCCAGAACUGCCUUUGAGACUGGAUUGCUAGAAUCCUGGAGAGGUGAGUGGAAUUCCGAGUGUAGAGGUGAAAUUCGUAGAUAUUCGGAAGAACACCAGUGGCGAAGGCGGCUCACUGGACAGGUAUUGACGCUGAGGUGCGAAAGCGUGGGGAGCAAACAGGAUUAGAUACCCGGGUAGUCC